rnacentral:tmRNA from 1 species
GGGGGCGUUACGGUCUCGACGGGGAGCGUUGCGCGAAGAGCGGCGAGCCGAGAUCCCACCUGCUCGUUAAUCGGUGGAAGCACGAUAAGUGCCAACAACAAUUACGCCUACGCUGCCUAACUAACUAGGCAGCCGUCCGACCCGGGCUUAUCCUGGGAGCCUGGCAAGGGCGUCAUCUAAACCAGGAUGCUCGCGCACCAAUUCUCGGAGGUGCGCGAUAAGAGUAUCGGGAUAGCCGCCGGGCAGCGCGUCCGUGCGCGACUUCGGCUGCGAACUCUAGUACACGGGCUACGCUCGUAGAAGUUCUUCAAGUGACCUCUUCGGACCCGGGUUCAACUCCCGGCGCCUCCACCA